GUUGCAGCAAAGAGAUGCAACUUUCAAAAUAAAAAAAAUGAAUGGAAGGAGUCGGUCAAGAAAAACAACAACAGGACAGUUGUUCUCAAUAGCAGCCAUGUGUUGCUUGACAAACUUGCUGCCCUCGAUUUUUUCCCAAUACUACUUUUGGGUAAGAAAUGCAAAGGAAGUUUGGUGGCCGAUGUCAUCCUAGGAGGGGACUAUAUUUUGGAUCCUGAUUUGCUUCAGAGGGUUAAAGUUAUGUAUGAAGCUGUGCUAAAGAUUCAUUUUCAAAGACAGAAGAAGGCCACAAGUAGCACAGAAACUACUCACCCUCCCAAAGCCACUGCCACUGAGACCAACGUCACUCCAGAAGCCACUGAGACCAACGUCACUCCAGAAGCCACUGAGACCAACGUCACUCCAGAAGCCACUGAGACCAACGUCACUCCAGAAGCCACUGAGACCAACGUCAUUCCAGAAGCCACUGAGACCACCGUCAUUCCAGAAGCCACUGAGACCAAUGUCAUUCCAGAAGCCACUGAGACCAACGUCACUCCAGAAGCCACUGAGACCAACGUCACUCCAGAAGCCACUGAGUCCAACGUCACUCCAGAUGCCACUGAGACCACCGUCAUUCCAGAAGCCACUGAGACCAACGUCACUCCAGAAGCCACUGAGACCAACGUCACUCCAGAAGCCACUGAGACCACCGUCAUUCCAGAAGCCACUGAGACCAAUGUCAUUCCAGAAGCCACUGAGACCAACGUCACUCCAGAAGCCACUGAGACCAACGUCACUCCAGAUGCCACUGAGACCACCAUCAUUCCAGAAGCCACUGAGGCCGUCACUCCAGAAGCCACUGAGACCACCGUCAUUCCAGAAGCCACUGAGACCAACGUCACUCCAGAAGCCACUGAAACCAACGUCACUCCAGAUGCCACUGAGACCACCAUCAUUCCAGAAGCCACUGAGGCCGUCACUCCAGAAGCCACUGAGACCAACGUCACUCCAGAAGCCACUGAGACCAACGUCACUCCAGAAGCCACUGAGACCAACGUCACUCCAGAUGCCACUGAGACCAACAUCACUCCAGAAGCCACUGAGACCACCGUCAUUCCAGAAGCCACUGAGACCAACGUCACUCCAGAAGCCACUGAGACCAACGUCACUCCAGAAGCCACUGAGACCAACGUCACUCCAGAAGCCACUGAGACCAACGUCACUCCAGAAGCCACUGAGACCAACAUCACUCCAGAAGCCACUGAGACCAACGUCACUCCAGAUGCCACUGAGACCACCGUCACUCCAGAAGCCACUGAGGCCGUCACUCCAGAAGCCACUGAGACCACCGUCAUUCCAGAAGCCACUGAGACCAACAUCACUCCAGAAGCCACUGAGACCAACGUCACUCCAGAUGCCACUGAGACCACCGUCACUCCAGAAGCCACUGAGGCCGUCACUCCAGAAGCCACUGAGACCACAGGCUCAUCAAAAGCCACAAGACCCCGGGGCCAGAAGGCAAAAAAAAGACAAAAUCCAGUCCAACAGAGGGUAGCCAGCAAUAUGAAGCCAAAAAAAAAGUACUUCUAAAGCUAUACAGAUCCACUUUGGGAACUGGAAACCCUUAAAGCUCACCUUCACCUGGAAAUGAGAGAAUGGGUAUAUGGUCUCGGUGACUUGACAGAGGAUGCUACCUAUGGGCUCAACAGUCUCAUCAAUCGGAGGUCACUCAGAAGUCAACACAGACAGACUGUAAAUGCAAACAGCAGUAUAGGCGCUUUCGAUUACAUUGAUGACAGGACCGGUGCACUGAAGAUGUGUACUGAAUAAACCUGCCUUGCUUUUAUAUCAAACAGCACUUUUUAUGAA